CCAAAACUUCAGAUCAAGAUGCACGUAGUCUGUGAAAGGAGCAUUUAUCUGAAAGCCCAAGGCCUCAUUCGGAGAAAAGAUAUAUUUGUAUGUCAUAAAGGACUGAUAGCGCAUGAAACAAACUAUUACUGGUUUAUUGCUGCACUAACGUUUCUGGAUUCUGCAUCAUGGGGAACGCAAAAGAAUUGUCAAAGGAUCUGCGGGAAAAGGUAGCUGAACUGUAUAAAACAGGAAAGGGAUAUAAAAAGAUAUCCAAGGAAUUGAGAAUGCCAAUCAGCAGUGUUCAAACUCUAAUCAAGAAGUGGAAAAUGAGGGGUUCUGUUGAAACCAAACCCCGGUCAGGUAGAACAACUAAAAUUUCAGCCACAACUGCCAGGAAAAUUGUUCGGGAUGCAAAGACGAACCCACAAAUAACUUCAGGUGAAAUGCAGAACUCUCUGAAAACAUGGGGUGUGGCUGUUUCAAGAUGCACAAUAAGGAGGCACUUGAAGAAAGAUGGGCUGCAUGGUUGAGUCACAAAUGCCACAAAGUAUCCCGCUUACAAUACGCCAAACAGCACAGAGACAAGCCUCAAACCUAUUGGCACAAAGUCAUUUGCAGUGAUGAGACUAAAAUUGAGCUUUUUGACCACAACCAUAAACGCUACAUUUGGAGAGGAAUCAACAAGGCCUAUGAUGAAAGGUACACCAUUCCUACUGUGAAACACAGAGGUGGAUCACUGAUGUUUUUGGGAUGUGUGAGCUACUAAGGCACAGGAAAUUUGGUCAGAAUUGAUGGCAAGAUGAAUGCAGUAUGUUAUAAAAAAAUACUGGAGGAAAAUUUGCAUUCAUCAGCCCGGAAGCUGCGCAUGGGACGUACUUGGACAUUCCAACAUGACAAUGAUCCUAAACACAAGGCCAAGUCAACCUGUCAUUGGCUACAGCAGAAUAAAGUGAAGGUUCUGGAGUGGCCAUCUCAGUCUCCUGACCUCAAUAUCAUUGAGCUACUCUGGGGAGAUCUCAAACAUGCAGUUCAUGCAAGACAGCCCAAGAAUUUACAGGAACUGGAGGCUUUUGCCAAGAAGAAUGGGCAGCUAUACCAUCUGAGAAGAUAAAGAGGCUCAUCCACAAAUACCACAAAAGACUUCAAGCUGUCAUUGAUGUUAAAGGGGGCAAUACACGAUAUUAAGAACUGGGGUAUGUAAACUUUUGAUCAGGGUCAUUUGGGUAGUUUCUGUUGUCAUUUUGAUUUAAAAAAAGUAAACACAGUUGAUUGAUAAUAAAUGGCUUCAGCCAAACACUAACCAUGAGUGAAAGAAAA